CCCCCCCCCCCCCUUCGGCCUAGGGCUCGACGGCGUCCCACUGGGAUUUCGGCCAGUACUAUUGGCCAGGUGGCCGCUUCUCUGCUUGCGGACUUGCGUUCCGCGCAGGCUAACUUCCGACGUUUUCCACUGAAUUAUACGGAACGAUUU